CGUAGGUGAACCUGCGGAAGGAUCAUUAGUGAAUUGAAUAUGUUAGCGGACCUCUUCGGAGUCCCUAGCAUCAAAUCAUAUCCAUAACACCUGUGAACUGUAAGGCUGUCUUGAAAACGAAAGUGAUUAGAGCGCCUGCCCAUUUUAUACGAACAUUAAAGUAACAAACGUAGUCUUAUUAUAAUCUAAUAAAACUUUCAACAACGGAUCUCUUGGCUCUC
rnacentral:misc_RNA from 1 species